AUCGAUUUUUCAUUGUUUAUCGUCGUAUUUUGGAUUCAUUUGGAUUUCGUUUCCUGUUUUUGUGAACUUUAUAAACUUUACCACAAUGCGAACUGAUUAUUUAAGGAAAUUAUUAUUGGAAACUCCAGAUGUUGCGAGAAAGAUAUUUAUUGAAGCUGAAAAUAAUUUAGGAUUUAGAUCCAUACGGAAUUCAGUCAGAAUUGGAUUUUACAGUAAAGUGCAGUCCAUCAAGUUACUAUUAUAGAUAUGUAUUUAUACAGAUCUGGUGGAGUCUCACAGUUGCUACUCUAAGCAGCAGAUGAAAGCAUACAAAAGCCUUCAGGCACAUAAAUAUUUUACAGCUGGAUUUGUUUUGAAUGGAGUAAAAAUUGUUAAUGAUUUCCUGAUUUCCAUAUUAUUGUUGGAAAGGUGAAGCAUUUCCAAAAAGCUAAUGCUAAACGACUAAAUGCUUGGGUGGGGUGAUAGCCAGUUCUGAUGACAUAGCAAAUGCACAUUGUAUGCGUAUGGCUGGUAAUAGUGAAGUCUGCAGCCAUAUUGCAGCAAUCCUAUUUUUAGCUGAGUAUGCCCAGAGCAAGACAGACGAAGAAGAACCCAAUGCAUGUACAUAUGUUACAGCUACAUGGUUUGGAGAUAGCAACAUAUGCAUUCUCUGAUGAAAAACUAAUGAGUUUUGAAACUGUUCGGUCAGAGUGCUUGUUGCGCUCACUAAACGAACUGAAAUAUAAGAAGUCUUUGGCAUUGUGUUGCAGCGAUAUGAAAAUGGUUAUUCAUUUUUAAUUAUAAUGUACUUCUUCAUCAUGAGUAAUUAUGUAUUGGUCUUUUAGAUGUGUAUUUAUUUUUGUAAUUAGUAUCAACUUGUAAUGAUAAUAUACAUUUAUCGUUUAAGGUACGACUAUGUUUUGACUCUAAAAUAAAUGUUUUAAAAAUCGAA
rnacentral:lncRNA from 1 species